UUGCAAUGGUAGUAUUUGUAGCUUUAGGUAUUAGAUUCUGUCUUUUUAAAAAAAUGAAUGCAAAUCUUGGUAAUGUGUUUAGUUGUGACAUUUUGGGCCUAAAGUAAUUACAUGACUUUUUUAAAAAAAUGAAAGCUUAUUCUGAACUAUGAAUUAUCACCGAUUUGUCUUUCAGCAUCAAUUCUUCUUAAAAAUGAAGCAUAUCUAUGAAUUCCAUAGGUUACCUUAUAGAAAAAAAACUGUUAGCGUACAUAUAAAAGUUACAUGUCAGUUUCUGAAAAAAACUUCUUUUGUAUUAAAAUGCCCCACAAAAUACCAACAUUUUAUUCCUUAAAGUACUAUUUAAACAUAGUAGAGCAUUUAAAUUAAAAUAUUUCUUAAUGGUUCAGUUGGGUUUAAGGGUUUGAUGAGGUAAAUUAUUAUCUUAAUUGCAGUUGUUUAGUUUGAAGAAAAUUUUCAGACUUUGUAUGUAGGAAUUAUAUUUUGCAAGCAUCUUAAUUUUUUCAACACUUUUCUCAUCCUAAACAAUGAUAAGCUAAUUUACUUUUUAAGAAGGGUUAAUUUGAAAGUGGUUAUUUUCUCAGGCUAACUCAUUUUGGGAGGCUUCUAAGAUUAGAAGCUUGAUUAAGGUCAGGAAGCAGUAUGUGUUUCCAACUUUUAAUUUUGGAGUUUUGUUUGAAAUGGUUAUUCCAUAAACCAUAGGUGAAUCCUCUAUCCACCUUUUUGAGAGAAAUUGCUCUUCAGUUAACAAUGGAUUGAUGUGUUCAUGAAAGUUAUUUUUGACUGCUGAUGACUUUAGAGUCAUAUAGGGAUAAUCAUUAUCCUGUCUUUGUCUCUAUUUUAGUGUAAAUUUUGUUUUUCCUGGGAUGUGCUUGUUUAGUUACAUUGACAUCUUAUUUUCAGCCAAGUUACCCUUGACCAACUGCUUUAUUGAUUGGUCCAAAUUUGUGGCAUGUUUUUCAGAAAGACUUAUGAUGGGUUGGUGCAAAGAAAUGUCAUAUUCCAAUCACGACAUGAGAAAUGGUUGGAUUCCCUGUCCUACUAGGAGAUUCUUGACUGACAUUUUAUCGUGUUAUUGUGUUCCACGCUAUUUAGUUCCUCCUGGAUUCUUCCGAAUUUCACAUGCACUGCUGCAAUCAGCUCCUGCAGAGCGGAUAACAUACCUAGGGACCCAGGUCUUCCUGGACAAGCAGCCAGUCAUGAACAGGGGCAGACUUGGCCUUAAAGUUUAAUUCUGAUUUUUUUUUUUUUAUUUCAAAGUAUAGAUAUUCAUUUUAUUUAUUAAAAAGUAAAACCCAGUAAGUGUACUGUAGGGAAUGUUUAUCUUACAAAGGAAGGGUUAUGUAAAGAUGAGCCCACCUGCUGGUUUUACUUUCCUUUUCCAGUAAUGUUUAUAUUGUAACUUAAACAUUUUUCUGGCUCUAAAAAUUAGGUAUGUCUUUGUUUUCUAGUGCAUAUCUCUGUUAUGUAAACCUGCUUGUGUACAUAUGAAGAAAACCGAUUUGAAACAUUUCUGUUUAUGCACAAAGUGUACCUUAGUGGUGUCUUUGGCAGAGGGUAAGAACCUCACCUUUACAAGGGAAGUAGGAAUGAUGGGUUUGCUUACAGAGCUUUAAAUUAUGUAGCUGGAAAUUGGGAGUUUAGUCUGUAUGUCAGAAAGAUACAGCCAACUCUGCCAUCAGUUUAAAAGAAAAAUAAGAUUUUGGUGAAAUCUUGUCUAAGUGGCUUUAACACUAUUAGAGAAUUUAAAAAACUGUUACAAUAAAUCAGACUGUUUUAGAAUAGCAACAUAAAGUUGGGGUUACUGUUUCAGAUGUAUAUUCAUGUAAAAAUUAGGUUUCAGUAUUGGCACUUAGGUGAUGAAAAUAUGGUAUAUUUGUAUUUUAAUGAAGUACUGGCACUAUAUAAAACGUUUAUUUUUAAAUCAGUGAGCCAGAAUUUCAUUGUGGAUUUGGAAAAAGAGAUUGUCAUUUUAUAAACUGCAAGAAUAAAUAUAUGUGUUUUAAAUACCAAAGUAUUCAGUUUUACAUUCUUACUUCAUUUUGAAAACAUGUAAGAACUAAAUUAGACUUUUAAUUAGUGGUUAAUAGCAGUGAAUAAAUAAACCUGUCUAAAAAUUAAAGAAUGACUGUAGAAUAAGACUUCUGACACUUUAAAUUUCUGUGUGAGGAAGAUAGUAUGUUAUCAAGGAACAUAGUGUAUUUUGUGUUGAUCAUUGCUGUUUUAAAAAUGUAUAUGUUCUAUGAUUACAUUGUUUCCCAUACCUCAGACUGAGUUUGAGUUGAUGUCUUCUUAACAUGAUUGGGUUAGUAACCAGUGGCAUUUAAUUUUUGUAAUGCAAAAACUUAAGGCUUUAGGUGUUCCCAAUAAAACUUUUAUAUAAGCCUCUU